UAGCCGGGGUGUACACCUUGCUCCCCUCCAUGCUCGGUGCUCACCAGUCCACCAGGAGAACAUAGCGGCUAUGAGAUGCAUUCAGUGCACAAACCUACUCCAAGGCAGUCGACAAGUCAUCCAAGAGUUAAGCUUAAACGCAAAACAAAGUACACAUUUAAUUGAAUUACAACGAAGCCCAGAACCCUAACCCAGCAGCAAAGAACAAUCCGAUACGUAACAAAACGAAAUAAAAUAACGUUAGACAAAACCCCGUGCGGCGGGGUGUAAUGUUGUACUGCCCGCCUCGCUGCCGCAGAGCGCCGCCGCCUGUCCCCGUAGCGCUCAGCCGGCUCAGGGCGCACCGAGGCCCGGUGUGGGGCUGCAGGAGACUCCGCAGAGCAACCAUGUUUCUCCGUAACGGCCAUACUGGUAGCUCUGCGAUACUGCUCGAUUACGACUCAAAACUGAGCCAAUGCUCGUGAACAGUUGGUGUACGGCGUUAGGAACCCGAUAUUUAAAACAUGCUGAACCCACAGGACACAUUGACAACACGACCAUGCCCAUUCGGGGACUUGGAAGACACUUGCGGGGCCUGCCUUACUGCAAGCCCGGCAUUUUUUCCCCAACCGAAGAAAGGCUUUUGUAUUGUGGCGAAUACUUAGCAUGUAGGCUCUCUGUUGAACAUAUCUGAUAAACACGAACGAUUCCGAGUACCACUUACCUUACUAUGGUGCAAAAAACGGUCCAAUGAAAUGAAAUUGCCCACAGCGUUGCUGUAUAUAUAUCGGUGUAUGCUCAGUAAAACAUGUCGGUGCUCCGGUCCACACACCGCCGCGGACACGCGCCUUCCCUGGAGCUCCCGGGGUCGAGUCCCCUUCCUGGCUGCUGGCUGUCGGGCAGUCCGUGCACACUGACUGUUCACCAUUGUGUGCCACCCACAACAUCUUGGAUGAUUAUCUGGUUAUCUGUGAAUGACAAUUAAGAAGCAUUGUUAUUUUUUCAUUUUAAUUCUAAUAAAUGCAGAAACUAUCAACAUGAAUGAUCGGGUUUUUUUGUAUGCCAAACUUGGUUUACUUAGGCUACUUAUAAUAGCUUUAUUUAGGUAAUUAUACUGGACUGUGAACUUGUGUGUAGACUAUUAUAAUACCACGUUAAAUAUGCUAUUCUGUUUUGUUUGUUUGGAUAAUAG
ensembl:lncRNA